AUAGCUACAAUCCUCAUCAGCAAAGCCUAGCCUUGAGCCCACAGUGUCAUACACUACCCUCUUGUUCUUCUGCUGGUAGUUGCCAAUAAUGGGCGUCUGGUCUUCGAAUGAGAGGCUCGCCAUGGCCAAGCACACCUGCGACCCAUCCUUCCUCGCCAUGAACAGCAUCCCGGCAGCGUCGACGGUCAUGUCGGCGCCGCCCUCGAGGCGCAGCGUCAGCAAUGGCACCUUCACCUCGUCGUGCCCGGUCAGGUUGUAGCACGCGUCGAGCAGCGAGAAGGGCGGCGCCGCCGGGUAGCGCUCCGCCCCGAACUGCCGCGCGAACUCGGCGCGCACGGCGCGGUACACCGACGGCGCGAGGCGCGUGAUCACCGUGCCGGAGUCGAGGAGGACGUUGGCGGCACCGAGCCCCGCCGCGGCCACCGCGGCGCCGCCGACGGACGCGCCGGUCACGUUCAUGAAGUAGAACGGCGGCUGCGCCGGGUCGGCGAUCAUGCGGGUGUAGGACACCGGCGUGGCGUUGCGGUAGGAGGAGGUGUCGCCGCCGAGGGAGAGGGAGCCCGCGGCGUCGCCGGAGGUGGCGGCGGGGAGGCAGUAGGAGAAGACGCCGCCGAACCGGGGCGCCGUCUGGGAGACCAGCGAGAGCUCCGUCCGGCCGAGGCCCAUGAGCCCCGCCGUGCCGCCGAACAGGCCGCGGUUGCUGAGCCCGCAGCCGAACACGAAGCCGUCGACGCUGGCGCCGCCGAGCGCGACCGUGUCCGUGGCGAGCACGCCGCGGCUGAACGACCCGUCGCCGUAGGCCAGCGAGUAGUAGCACCUCUCGCUCUUCCCGCCGCCGCCGCCGCCGCCGACGGUGGCGCAGGAUCCCGGCACGCCGGUGGCCGCCUUGAGGGAGGCUUCGCAGGCGGAGGCAUUGCAGGGGACGGCGGCGUAGGAGGCGGAGCCGGACGGGUCGAACAGCGGGUCGCGCUGCGCGUAGCAGACGGAGCACGGCUUGCACUGCACCCAGGUGAGGUCGCUGCCGGUGUCGACGAUGACGGUGAGGUUGCCGGCGCCGGCGCGGGAGGAUCCGCCGCCGCCGAGAGCGAUGGUGGUGACGUAGUUGAGCGUCUGGAAGCGGAUGCCGGAGGUCAGGGGGACCUCGGCGCCAGCGGCGGCGGCGGCGGCCGCCGUCGCCUUCUUGCCGGACUGCGUGAACGCUGCCUUGUUGCGGAGCUGCAACGAGUUGGCACGCGCCUCGUCGGCGGCGAGGAGGCGGCGGAGGUAGGUUUCUUGGGCGGCGGGGUGGUCGGGGAUGGCGGUGAGGGAGUGGUGCUUCAGCUCUAGGACGGUGGUGC
rnacentral:sRNA from 1 species